CAUUGUUACCUGUCGAAUGAGAAUAAUCUGGCUUCUCUUUUUAGUACAUGUCAUACGAGAGUAAAGAUCACCGUGAGAUAAGCAUCAGCUAUUCCAAGCUAUUUGUUUGUAGCGCAUUAUACCUUGACAUCUCCUCUUUUCUUUUAAAGUUUUUCCGUAAAAAUGAAAAUUAGUACUAGCUUGAUGAAUGAUACGAGAUUUUAAAGAAAAUGAAAAAGUUUAAAAGAGGAAUGUGACUCUUAAAUUUGAAAACUGUUUAAACAAUGAUAAUUGUGUUCUGUAAGGAGUUUGCCUUCACCAUUAGGUUCUUAUGCUUAUAUUAUAAUUGGUGAAUGCAUUAUUGUACAUGCAAAAUGAUUUUAGGGAAAAAAGAUUAGAGGAUUCUGGCUAUGCAGUUGGGACACGAAUUUUGGAAUUCCUCUAUCAUAUGGAAAAAGGUAUGAAAUUACUCUUGCAAUUUAAUCCCUGCUAUUUUACUUUUAACUAUAAUUGGUAAAUACAAAUCUUGACUAGGAAGCUGGGAGAUAGAAAAAAAUUAUAGAAAGGAGAGAAAGUAAAACAAAGAGUAGAGUUUCGUAGACGUAUAGCUCAAUAAAAUAUGUAAGAGCUUAUUAGACUCCGGAGGACUCUUUAAUUCUUUAUUUGGUUCAGUUCCAACCUCCAAUCAACGUAGUUGUUUUCAUUUGGAAGUUGGGUAGUAUAUUAUUGAGCUUGUGAUACUUUAGUAAAGAACCAAUAAAAACAAAUUUGACACAGGUUUUUGGUUAUAUUGUAGGAUUAUUAUGGAUCAUCAAUACAUAUUUUUUUCCAGAACAUAUGCUUGCUCACUUUUAAAUGCUGCUGGAUGAACACAUAUACACACUUGCUAUUCCAAUUGUCAAUGAAAAAGUAGUUGUGAGGUCAAUAGGGAACUAAGUGCACAAAGAACAUUAUAAAAAAAUGACCAUAGUGGUGAGGGCCUUAGCUUCAAUGUUGUCAAGGCUAUGUUUUACUUUUGAAUAAUGCAAAUAACCCCAAACAAGGAACGCUUUAGUUUUCAGAUGUUUAAGCCAGCAAAAAUGAUGGUUAAAUGUAGUAAUCAUAGGAGACAAUCUUUUUUAACUGACAUAAAAAAUAUUCUAAAAUAUUAAUGCCCUUUGUAAUUCUGAAGAUAUAACGACCUGAUCGAUCGUUUUGAGCAUUUACAUUCCGUUCAGCUGUUUGAAAUCUUGAGUAGCUUCGUACGACAUAUUAUGACUUGUGUGAAUCGUCGAUUUUGGUUUUCAGGUUAAUCAAAAUUGAUUUGGGAGAAAGAUUUUCAACUAGGAAGUUUUAAGUUGGAAGAGUUGACCAAGUUAAACUUUUGAGUAUUUGACCUCGGAUCGGAAUUUUGAUGGUUUCGUUAUUUUCGAAAGGUGAUUUUGGACUUGGGCGUAUGCCCGGAUUUACAUUUGGAUGUUCCUAGAAGUUUUUGGCAUUAUUUGGCGAAAGUUGACAAUUUGAAGAUUUGGAAUAUUUAUAAGUUUGGUCGGGAGUUGACUUUGAUGAUAUCGGGUUAGGAUUGUGGUUCCGUGAAUUUGAAUAGCUUCAUUAUGUCAUUAGGGAUUUGUGUGCAAAAUUUGAGUUCAUUCAGAUUUGAUUUGAUAAGGUUCGACACGUGUUUUGAAAGUUGAAAGUUCAAAAGUUCAUUAAGUUCAAUUUGAGGUGUGAUUCGUCGUUUAGAUGUUGUUAUGCGUGAUUUGAGGCCUCGAGUAGGUCCUUGUUUUGUUAUGGGACUUAUUGGCAUGUUCAUGCGGGGUCCCGAGGGGCUCAGGUGAGUCUCAGAUAUGAUUCAGAAUGUUUUGUCUCAUGUUGCAUUGCUGAAGAAGUGUUGGUACUGGUAUUUCCGCAUUUUUGGAGGUUUGGACGCAGAUACGAGUCCACAGAUGCGGAUGAUUCAUCAUAAAAGUGGAAGUGGCAGGCAGGGCAUGAAGGUCGCAGGUGCGGGAGCAUGAGCGCACCUGCGCGAUCGCAAGUGCGGUUCUAUAUGCACAGAAGCGCGACCGCAGAAGCGGAGAGAUGAUCGCAGAGGCGGUGGCUGCUGAGUUUGGGCGUGUUCGCAGAAGCGGAGGCCGGGCUGCGUGCGAGUUCGCAGAAGCGAGAAUUUGUUCGCAAAGGCGAAAAUAGCUGGGCAGAAGUUGUAAACUGAGGGUAUUGUUCAUUUUUGCAUUUUGGAGCUAUGGAGCUCGGAUUGAAACGAUUUUUGAGGCGAUUUUUACCACAUGAAUUGGGGUAAGUAUUCUACACUCGGUUCUGAUUAUAUUUCGUGAAUCUAUAUUAGAUUUUGUCAUUUGGAUUAUGAAUUUUAAAGAGAAUUUUGGGUGUUUUGUAUAAAAUUUUAUAGAGUGAAUUUUUGAGUUUUGAACAUCGAUUCGAAGUCGGAUUGGAGUGAAACUAGUAUGGUUGGACUCGUAAUUGAAUGGGUUGUCGGAUUUUUUGAGCUUUUUCGUGUUCCGUAGCGUGGACCCGGGUUUGACUUUUUGGUCAAAUUUGGGCUUUUGAUUAAAUAUUCAACCUUUGUCAUUUGGGUUUGUUUCCUUAGGCAUUAAUUGAUGUUUUUGAGUUGCUUUUGGCUAGCUUCUAGCCGUUCGAAGUUGAUACACGCGGGAUGGCAUUUUUAGAGUGUCGUUUGGUUUGAUCGGUAUUUGUCUUGGCUUAUUUGAGGUAAGUAAUACUUCUAAACUCGAUGCUGAGGGUAUGAACCCCUGAAUAUACGUGUUAUGUGUUUGGUGUUGAGGUGACGCACAUGCUAGGUGACGGGCGUGUGGGCGUGUACCGUAUGAAUUAUGACUCGAUUGAUUUGUGUGGUACUGUAUAGUUAUUUAUCUUGUUUCUAUCCAUGAAAUUCGUACUUGUUAGAGAAAUUGAGUUGUGAUCCAUGUUAGAAAAUCAUGUUUAUGCCAUAUACUUAUACUGUUGGGACCCAUUGAGGUCGUUUCUAAUGUUGAGUUUUUUGCUUAAAUUGCAAUUACAUACUCAGUCAUAAUUAUUUAUUUACAUAUCAUAUCUUAGUCGUUGUUAUCAUUUAUUGUCACAUCAUGUUAUCAUUGUUUGGGCUGAUUGGCAUGAGAUUUGUGAGCCCGUUGAAUUGGAGAGAUUGAUGACUGAGUGAGGCCAAAGGUCUGAUUGUGAGUGAUAUAUAUGGGUUCGGGCUGCACACCGCAACGGAAUUUAUUGAUUCAGGAUGGGAUCGGGCUACAUGCCGCAGCAUGCUAUGAUUGACUUAUAUUAGCACUUGGGCAGGAUCCGCCCCUCUGGAGUCUGACAUACCAGUAGUGAGCGUAGGUACCUACUGAGUGUGAGUGCCGAGUGAUUGGGAGAUGUUGAGUGAUUGAGAGUGUUGAGUGAUUGGGAGGUGCUGAGUGAUUGAGUGUGCUGAGUGAGGUUGAAUACUCCGAGAGCAUGAGCACAUGAGUUUAUCAUUGUGAUGCAUUACAUUUGACAUACAUGCAUGGCAUGUAGGCAUAGAGAUGUAUUUCCUCAUGUUAUACGGUAUUGUGACAUUCAUGACUUCACAUGCACAUUGACAUGUAGGCAUAGAGAUGUACUUUCCUCAUGCUAUCUAAUGAUGAAAUAUCUUAUCUGUUGUUGAAAGUUUUGGGAAAAUCACAUUUUUCUAAUAUAUUCGUAUUUCGGUAAUUUCGGUGAAAGAUUUGGGUUCUUACUGUUAUAUCUGAGAAGCAUGCCUAUUUUCCCUAACUGUGAACGAGUUGAGAAUCAUAUCUUGGAGUAUUACUUGUAAUGUUUUCAUUACAUUGGUACGAGUUGUUCUUGGUUGUUGGUAUUGGACUCUGACCGUUGUCCAAGCUCGUCACUACUUUCAACCUAAAGUUAUGUUUGUUACUUAUUGAGUAUGUGUGGUCGGUUGUACUCAUACUACACUUGUGCACCUUGCGUGCAGAUUUUGGAGCUGAUGUUAUUGUGUAUAGCGGGAGCUGGCAUUGAAGAUGUACAUGCGUUCCGGUUGUAGCUGCCUCUUGUUCGUGUUAGCUUUAGAUUUAUUAAAAUCUAUUUAUGUACAUUUCAAACAGAUGAUGUAUUUCUUUCAUACCAGUUUUGUAAAUUCUAAAUCUUAG
rnacentral:lncRNA from 1 species